rnacentral:rRNA from 1 species
UACAGAGGGGCGAAGCGUUGUUCGGAAUUACUGGGCGUAAAGGGCGCGUAGGCGGCCAACUAAGUCAGACGUGAAAUCCCUCAGCUUAACUGGGGAACUGCGUCUGAUACUGGAUGGCUUGGAUUCGGGAGAGGAAUGCGGAAUUCCAGGUGUAGCGGUGAAAUGCGUAGAUAUCUGGAGGAACACCGGUGGCGAAGGCGGCAUCCUGGACCAAUUCUGACGCUGAGGAGCGAAAGCCAGGGGAGCAAACGGG